AUAUCAUGGUGUGGACAUUGCCUAAGCAAAUCGUUCAAUCGUUCCUAUGCCUUAUGAAACAUUUCUCCUUCCCCCAGUGAAAAUUAACGAAUUGAAAUUCUCAUUGU